UACGUAGGGCGCAAGCGUUAUCCGGAAUUAUUGGGCGUAAAGAGCUCGUAGGCGGUUUGGCGCGUCUGCCGUGAAAGUCCGGGGCUCAACUCCGGAUCUGCGGUGGGUACGGGCAGUCUAGAGUGAUGUAGGGGAGGCUGGAAUUCCUGGUGUAGCGGUGAAAUGCGCAGAUAUCAGGAGGAACACCGAUGGCGAAGGCAGGUCUCUGGGCAUUAACUGACGCUGAGGAGCGAAAGCAUGGGGAGCGAACAGG
rnacentral:rRNA from 1 species